CCAGGCUCAAAGGGUAAGGAAAUAGACCCAGCCACUGAUGAGAGAGACCACAUUCCAACCAAGGAUGCCCACAGAAUGGGGUGGAUAAUAUUAGCAAACAUCUACGAUUAUAUCUCCAAUAAUUCUGGGAAUGAGGAAAACGAAGUUCAACAUGUUCUUAUAAACCCCUGUAGGUUGCAGAUGUGUUCGAGUGCAUUGUGUGUGGUGUCCUGACAAAGCCCUUUUGGUUUUGUGUGUCACGAGGGCUUGGUGCGCUGAGAAUCAGCCUUGGGGAGCACCGCUCUCCCGCUUCGAAUUCCCAGCCGGAAUAAAGGAAGGCAUCUGUUUUCAUAAUUUAGGGGAUAAAGUGCCAUCGCUAGGGCAGACAUUUUUGUGGGGAAGGUUGUCUUGUUUUAUAGGAGGGUUGACAGGGGAAAUUAAGCCCCAUUUAGUCCCUCGACCUUUGGUUUCCAAACUGGAAAGAGCACAGUGUGUGUUCCAAUAGCCUCCCUGAAGUCAUUAUUGCUUCAGAGCCAGCUGAAUUGCUUGAUAAUAGCGAUUCUUUGCACUUGUAGAAUGUGUUUCCUCUGAGGAGGGCCAAGUAAUUUACAAUCACUUAUUAAUUAAUCCUCAGUCCCCUGCAUGAGAUGCGGCUGCGAUGCGGCUGCGUCAUUGUGUAUCUUUGACAGAUGUGUGAAGUGGCCAAAGGGAGACGAAGCGACAUUAAGCCUCUGCCCAAGGUCACUUGUCUAACUCAUUGGACACCGUCCCAGUUCCACCAGCCUCCCCAUCCACCCUGCAAGCCUUUCCCACAGAAGCGCUGGAAUUUCUCGGGGCUGGUUCCAGCCAUUGCAGAAAGCCUGACUUUUUCAGAUCAAACAGUCGGUAAGAAGGUGGCAACCUGGAAAUGUGGAUUGCAUUCAUCCUGGGCUUCUCCUACUGGAUGGCAAGGUCUGAACAAUUCGGAAACUCAGUCCUGGGAAACCGGCCAGAGAAGAAACGGAUGGACCUGCUCUCUGGAGGCUUCCGGUCUCCAGAGGCUUCCGGUCGCUGGAGGCUUCCGGUCUCCUGAGGUUUCCGGUCUCCUGAGGUUUCCGGUUUCCGGAGGCUUCCGGUCUCACGCUGUAGGAAUGCGACAGUCAACCACAGCGAACAUCGCUGCGGUCUGAGAUUAUCAGUAAAUGGUUUCUGAGCAAGGCAGGAACUUAACUGAGCCUUUCCAAAUACUGUUGCUUCCACCUGGAACUCACCCUUCAUCUCAUCUUCUAGAAAAACACCUACUUUUCCUUAAAGAAACUGUAAGUCCAAAGUCAGGGCAUCUUUCAGCUCGCCUCAGCCCAGCUCUGCCUUUCCUCCUCCCUCAAGUCCUUCAGUUGCUGCCAGUUCUGCAAAUUACACCUGGAGCGCUUUGACAGAGAGUUGGCUGGACCAUAGGACCUCGGGGCCUGAGGCAAGACAAGAUUGUCCCAAGUGGAAAUACAGACCUCACGCUCCCUCAAGAUAGCUUAGGGUGUGGAUAAGUAUACACCUGCUAUGUAUAACAGGUG
rnacentral:lncRNA from 1 species